rnacentral:rRNA from 1 species
AAUNCUUUAUGCGUCAAAAGGAUUCGUCUGCCCAAGGAUGGGUCUGCGGCCUAUCAGGUAGUAGUGGGUGUAAUGUACCUACUAGCCAGCGACGGGUACGGGUUGUGAGAGCAAGAGCCCGGAGAUGGAUUCUGAGACAUGAAUCCAGGCCCUACGGGGCGCAGCAGGCGCGAAAACUUUACAAUGCGGGAAACCGUGAUAAGGGGACACCGAGUGCCAGCAUCAUAUGCUGGCUGUCCGGAUGUGUAAAAUACAUCCGUUAGCAAGGGCCGGGCAAGACCGGUGCCAGCCGCCGCGGUAACACCGGCGGCCCGAGUGGUGAUCGUGAUUAUUGGGUCUAAAGGGUCCGUAGCCGGUUUGGUCAGUCCUCCGGGAAAUCUGAUAGCUCAACUAUUAGGCUUUCGGGGGAUACUGCCAGACUUGGAACCGGGAGAGGUAAGAGGUACUACAGGGGUAGGAGUGAAAUCUUGUAAUCCCUGUGGGACCACCUGUGGCGAAGGCGUCUUACCAGAACGGGUCCGACGGUGAGGGACGAAAGCUGGGGGCACGAACCGGAUUAGAUACCCGGGUAGUCCCAACCGUAAACGAUGCUCGCUANGUGUCAGGCAUGGCGCCACCGUUGUCUGGUGCCGCAAGGAAACCGU